rnacentral:rRNA from 1 species
UACAGAGGGUGCGAGCGUUAAUCGGAAUUACUGGGCGUAAAGCGCACGUAGUCGGCUUUGCAAGUCGGGUGUGAAAUCCCCGGGCUCAACCUGGGAACUGCAUCCGAGACUGCAUUGCUAGAGUAUGGGAGAGGGAAGCGGAAUUCCUGGUGUAGCGGUGAAAUGCGCAGAUAUCAGGAGGAACACCAAUGGCGAAGGCAGCUCGCUGGGACGGUACUGACGCUGGAGACGCGAAAGCGUGGGGAGCAAACAGG